UCUAAAUUCUUAUCUCUGAGUCUGCUUCUAGGAGAACCCGAAUGAAGUCAAUAGGAAGGCCCUGGAGGAGGUGAGAGGCACACCGCAUGGGCCUGCAGUGGGUGCUGCCAUACUGCACCUGUGUAGAUUCUCCAGCUGAGUGACAGUUGGAAUGGAAGUCAAGGGAGGCUGAGGGGAUCUAAAGUGAUGCAUACAGGUGUCUGAUGGGUGUGUGCUACACCUGGCAGGAAGGGUGACCCUUCAUUACUUUAAGCGAGCUCUGAGUGAGUAUUGACCCUGUGCAGAGACUGCUGGCACUACACGUGGAUCAGUGCAGUGAAGGCUCCCAAUGAGAAGCAGGCGGUUAUCAUUGACCACGUUUCACAAAUAAGAAAACCGAAGCUCAGAAGGAUGAAGGAAUCUGCCAAAGGGGACAGAGCUGUUCAGGCAUCCUGUUCCACUGAUCUCCUCCCAGACUCAGUUCCUCAGUUGAGUGCAAGAGGUGGCUAUAAAAGUGAAAAUGUAUAGGGAUAUGGAGGCGACCCUGAAUACUGGUGGCAGAGGGCAGCGGGAUGGCAUUUUUAAGGAGCACAGAGGCUGACGGGUGUGAAAACUGAGCACGACAAGACCAACUUUCCUUGAUUUGCUCAAUUGCAGGCAAUUCUAGUUCUAAGGUGGUGCCAUCUUUGGAGCUGCGCUGUUGGCUAUACUCAGCUUGGUUAGUUGAUCUCUCUGCUCGUCCUUGUGGGCUGAGUUUUCCAACUUCUUCAUCCUUAUUAUUUUUUAAUUCAAUAAUAAAAUGCUAUGAAGC